rnacentral:rRNA from 1 species
AUAGCGUAUAUUAAAGUUGUUGCAGUUAAAAAGCUCGUAGUUGAAUUUCUGGCCAGCGCUGUUCUCGGCUCUCUGAGUCGGUUCAGUGUUUGGUCAUCCGUAUGGGAAGCUAGCUCGGCCUUCACUGGUCGGCUAGUGGAUCAUACACUUUACUUUGAAAAAAUUAGAGUGUUUCAGGCAGGCAAUUGCUUGGAUACUUCAGCAUGGAAUAAUGGAAUAGGACUUUGACCUAUUUGUUGGUUUCUUCGAGGUCAAGGUAAUGAUUAAUAGGGACAGUUGGGGGCAUUCAUAUUUAAUUGUCAGAGGUGAAAUUCUUGGAUUUAUUAAAGAUGAACUUAUG